rnacentral:rRNA from 1 species
AACGAACGCUGGCGGCAUGCCUAACACAUGCAAGUCGAACGAGACCUUCGGGUCUAGUGGCGCACGGGUGCGUAACGCGUGGGAACCUGCCCUUAGGUUCGGAAUAACUCCCCGAAAGGGGUGCUAAUACCGGAUAAUGUCUUCGGACCAAAGAUUUAUCGCCUUUGGAUGAGCCCGCGUUGGAUUAGCUAGUUGGUAGGGUAAAAGCCUACCAAGGCGACGAUCCAUAGCUGGUCUGAGAGGAUGAUCAGCCACACUGGGACUGAGACACGGCGCAGACUACAGGGGGGGGACGCGGGGGAGAGUAGUGGCAGUAGGGAUAAAGCUUGAACCGGCUAGGUCGGGGGGGGGAUAAGGGCGUCAGUGUAUUAACGCUCUGUUACCCGGAAUAAGAAGGACGGUGUGGGGAGAAAAGGCCCCGGCUACCUCCGUCCCAGCAGCCGCGUGAAUAAGAGGAAGAGGACGAUUCUGAAC